rnacentral:rRNA from 1 species
CCUACGGGAGGCAGCAGUCGGGAAUUUUGGGCAAUGGGCGAAAGCCUGACCCAGCAACGCCGCGUGAAGGAUGAAAUCCCUCGGGAUGUAAACUUCGCAAGAACGGGAAGAAUGAGUAUGGGACAACACCCCCUAUGAUGACGGUACCGUUUGUAAGCUCCGGCUAACUCCGUGCCAGCAGCCGCGGUAAUACGGGGGGAGCAAGCGUUGUUCGGAUUUACUGGGCGUAAAGGGCGCGUAGGCGGCCUCCGCAAGUCAGUUGUGAAAUCUCCGAGCUUAACUCGGAAAGGUCAACCGAUACUGCGGGGCUAGAGUGCGGAAGGGGCAACUGGAAUUCUUGGUGUAGCGGUGAAAUGCGUAGAUAUCAAGAGGAACACCUGCGGCGAAGGCGGGUUGCUGGGCUGACACUGACGCUGAGGCGCGAAAGCUAGGGGAGCGAACGGGAUUAGAUACCCCGGUAGUCCUAGCCUUAAACGAUGAAUGCUUGGUGUCUGGGGUUAUAUAGUCCCCGGGUGCCGUCGCUAACGCUUUAAGCAUUCCGCCUGGGGAGUACGGUCGCAAGACUGAAACUCAAAGGAAUUGACGG